CCUACGGGAGGCAGCAGUGGGGAAUAUUGCACAAUGGGCGCAAGCCUGAUGCAGCCAUGCCGCGUGUAUGAAGAAGGCCUUCGGGUUGUAAAGUACUUUCAGCGGGGAGGAAGGCGACGGGGUUAAUAACCGCGUCGAUUGACGUUGCCCGCAGAAGAAGCACCGGCUAACUCCGUGCCAGCAGCCGCGGUAAU
rnacentral:rRNA from 1 species